UACGUAGGGUGCGAGCGUUGUCCGGAAUUACUGGGCGUAAAGAGCUCGUAGGUGGUUUGUCGCGUUGUUCGUGAAAACCGGGGGCUUAACCCUCGGCGUGCGGGCGAUACGGGCAGACUGGAGUACUGCAGGGGAGACUGGAAUUCCUGGUGUAGCGGUGGAAUGCGCAGAUAUCAGGAGGAACACCGGUGGCGAAGGCGGGUCUCUGGGCAGUAACUGACGCUGAGGUGCGAAAGCGUGGGGGAGCAAACAGG
rnacentral:rRNA from 1 species